GGGGGUGAAAGGAUUCGACUUGUUGACGAGUGAUUGAAGGUCGCGCCGAUGUGUGUUGCCAUCGUAAAAACAGCACAUCCAAAUAGUUGCCAAUGACGACAACUACGAUUACGCACUAGCUGCAUGAUCCCCGCGCCCGUUGAUCGCCGUAGACGGAUGCGCGGGACGACACGGCGAUGCAACAAACUGUUGGGCAGAUGUUUCUCAUACCGACCGGUUCAUUUCAUGGCAAGGAUUUGUUCGGUAGGUCACUGAGAGAUAGACGCUGCGGGUGGGCUAUCUUGCCAAGUCGCCCAUCUUUCAGGUCAAACGCGCGUAGAAGCCGACUUUUGCAAGCCUCAAGGACGCGGGUUCGAUUCCCGCCACCUCCACCA
rnacentral:tmRNA from 1 species